GUGCUCGCUUCAGCAGCACAUAUACUAAAAUUGGAACGAUACAGAGAUUAGCAUGGUCCCUGUGCAAGGAUGACAUGCAAAUUUGUGAAACAUUAUAUAUAUAA